rnacentral:rRNA from 1 species
UCUGGGAUUAGAUACCCCACUAUAUAUUUCCUAAAAAUAACCAAAACCAGAGUAGUAUAAAAAAUAAUUGAAACUUAAAGGUCUUGGCGGUUUUCUAUACCUAUUUGGAGGAGCUUGUUAUCUAAACGAUAAUCCACGAGUUACCUUACCAAUCUUUGAUCAACAGUUUGUAUACCAUCGUCAUCAAUUUUCUUCAUAAGAAUGAAAGUGAAAUGAUUCCAACUCACUAUGUCAGAUCUAGGUGCAACCUAUAAAUUGGUAACUAAUGAGCUACUUUAUUUUAUAAUUGUGAAUAUAAUUAUGAAAAAUUUCUUGAAACCGAAUUCAAUAGUAAAUAUAUAAAGAGAAAUAUAUUGAAAAUAGCCCUAGAAAAUGUACAUACCGCCCGUCACCCUCCUCAA